rnacentral:misc_RNA from 1 species
AAGUCGUAACAAGGUUUCCGUAGGUGAACCUGCGGAAGGAUCAUCAACAAAUCCCUCUAAAUACUCAAAACACACCUUUGUGCUCAAAACCCCCUAUAAAUCUAUGCUCUUCUCCGGUCACUUGCUGAUCAAGUGUAUGGUUUGAAUGAGAUCGUCAUUGGUUGUACGAUCCUUCCAUGCAUGAGUUGAGUGUAGGUUUUUUUUUCCCUUACAACCAAAAAAACAACAACAUAAACUCCAAAAAACACAAUCUUUAUCUAUCUGUUUCUGUUUUUUGUUUUUUUUUUCUUUUCAUCUUGUAUGCACACUCGUGUGUAUAUAAUGUGAAAAAAAAAGGAAAUAAAAAUAUAAAAAAACUUGAAAACAACUUUUAACAAUGGAUCUCUUGGUUCUC